GACGAACGCUGGCGGCGUGCUUAACACAUGCAAGUCGAGCGGUAAGGCCCUUCGGGGUACACGAGCGGCGAACGGGUGAGUAACACGUGGGCAACCUGCCCUACACUCUGGGAUAAGCCCGGGAAACUGGGUCUAAUACCGGAUAUGACUCCGCACGGCAUCGUGUGGGGUGGAAAGUUCCGGCGGUGUAGGAUGGGCCCGCGGCCUAUCAGCUUGUUGGUGGGGUAGUGGCCUACCAAGGCGACGACGGGUAGCCGGCCUGAGAGGGCGACCGGCCACACUGGGACUGAGACACGGCCCAGACUCCUACGGGAGGCAGCAGUGGGGAAUAUUGCGCAAUGGGCGAAAGCCUGACGCAGCGACGCCGCGUGAGGGAUGACGGCCUUCGGGUUGUAAACCUCUUUCAGCAGGGACGAAGCGCAAGUGACGGUACCUGCAGAAGAAGCACCGGCUAACUACGUGCCAGCCGCCGCCGUAAAAC
rnacentral:rRNA from 1 species